rnacentral:rRNA from 1 species
UACGGAGGGUGCAAGCGUUAUCCGGAUUCACUGGGUUUAAAGGGUGCGUAGGUGGGCUGGUAAGUCAGUGGUGAAAUCUCCAGGCUUAACUUGGAAACUGCCAUUGAUACUAUCAGUCUUGAAUACCGUGGAGGUCAGCGGAAUAUGGUCAUGUAGCGGUGAAAUGCUUAGAUAUGACAUAGAACACCAAUUGCGAAGGCGCUUACUACGGGGAACAUUGACACUGAGGCACGAAAGCGUGGGGAUCAAACAGG